rnacentral:rRNA from 1 species
UGGCGGCGUGCCUAACACAUGCAAGUCGAACGACUACUUGGAAGUUUUCGGACGGAGAAGUGACUGAGUGGCGGACGGGUGAGUAACGCGUGGGUAACCUGCCUCUUACAGGGGGAUAACAGUUAGAAAUGACUGCUAAUACCGCAUAAGCGCACGGAAUCGCAUGAUUUAGUGUGAAAAGCCGAGACGGUAUGAGAUGGACCCGCGUCUGAUUAGGUAGUUGGCGGGGUAACGGCCCACCAAGCCGACGAUCAGUAGCCGACCUGAGAGGGUGACCGGCCACAUUGGGACUGAGACACGGCCCAAACUCCUACGGGAGGCAGCAGUGGGGAAUAUUGCACAAUGGGGGAAACCCUGAUGCAGCGACGCCGCGUGAGCGAAGAAGUAUUUCGGUAUGUAAAGCUCUAUCAGCAGGGAAGAAAAUGACGGUACCUGCAUAAGAAGCCCCGGCUAACUACGUGCCAGCAGCCGCGGUAAUACGUAGGGGGCAAGCGUUAUCCGGAUUUACUGGGUGUAAAGGGAGCGUAGGCGGCGAUGCAAGUCAGAGGUGAAAGCCCGGGGCUCAACUCCGGGACUGCCUUUGAAACUGUGUUGCUAGAUUGCAGGAGAGGUAAGUGGAAUUCCUAGUGUAGCGGUGAAAUGCGUAGAUAUUAGGAGGAACACCAGUGGCGAAGGCGGCUUGCUGGACGACAACUGACGCUGAGGCGCGAAAGCGUGGGGAGCAAACAGGAUUAGAUACCCUGGUAGUCCACGCUGUAAACGAUGAAUACUAGGUGUGGGAGGACUGACCCCUUCCGUGCCGCAGUUAACACAAUAAGUAUUCCACCUGGGGAGUACGGCCGCAAGGCUGAAACUCAAAGGAAUUGACGGGGGCCCGCACAAGCAGUGGAUUAUGUGGUUUAAUUCGACGCAACGCGAAGAACCUUACCAGGACUUGACAUCCAACUAACGAAGUAGAGAUACAUUAGGUGCCCUUCGGGGAAAGUUGAGACAGGUGGUGCAUGGUUGUCGUCAGCUCGUGUCGUGAGAUGUUGGGUUAAGUCCCGCAACGAGCGCAACCCCUAUUGUUAGUUGCUACGCAAGAGCACUCUAGCGAGACUGCCGUUGACAAAACGGAGGAAGGCGGGGACGACGUCAAAUCAUCAUGCCCCUUAUGUCCUGGGCUACACACGUAAUACAAUGGCCGUCAACAAAGGGAAGCAAAACCGCGAGGUGGAGCAAAUCCCCAAAAACGGUCUCAGUUCGGAUUGCAGGCUGCAACUCGCCUGCAUGAAGCUGGAAUUGCUAGUAAUCGUGGAUCAGCAUGCCACGGUGAAUACGUUCCCGGGCCUUG